AAGAAACACAUUGUGCGCUCUUUAGUUGCAAGCAGAGAAGAGAGGAAGAGCCAACUUGCUUUGCUCUGCAGCUUCUGAGGGCAAAGCCUCACACACCAGCAUUAGCAAUUUGACGAUCGAGGAAGCAAAUCGGAGUGCCAAUCUAAGUUUCUACUAUCUCAAGCUUCUUGUCUGCUGCUUGCUGUUAAGGUGGUGCCGAUGGGUUAGAUUGAUUGAACUUGCAGCUGAUUUUCUCUCAUGGUCUUGAGCGGAGGAAUCCAUCCUGUGAUUCCUGAUUCCUUAGUAGUUCUUUCCGUCAUUUGAUUUUGAAGACUUGUUAAGUUACACAGCUGCAGUCGUCUCUUGGCUGGUCUUGGACAGAGGAAUUGAUCUUGAGUCCGGUCCUCAUCGGUUGAUUAUGGGUUAACUUUGCUACUCCUUUUCUUUCUUGGUAUUGGCGAUCAUGAGUUCUAUUGGAUACAAGGGCAUGACCUAAUGUGAUGCUCGGUGGUUUUGCUGCUUCCUUUUGAGAAACCGGUUUCAUUGCUUCUAGUUGCACAAGAUUGUAUAUUGAAAAAAGAAGGGAACUGUCUGUUGUCUGUUGAGCUUCACUCGCUGCUGUCUGUCGAGGUGGUGCCAAGAUCUUGAGCCAACGGGUUAGAUUGAUCACAUAUGCAGCUGGUUUCUAUUCUUCGUCUUCGAUGAAAAACGGAUUAAGAUCGCUACGGUUUCGCUGCUGCUUUGUCUCUUUCUUUGUCUUGGGCGGAGCAAUAUAUUCAUCAUGUGUAGUCCUCAUCAGUUAAUGAUUGGUUAAAUUUGCUGCUGGAUAUUUCUAUUGAUCUUCGUUGGAGGAAUUCAUCAUGAGUAGCGAUCUUCGAAA